UCUUGUGUGCUGAUAGCUGUAUUUUCUGAUCCGCCAAAAGGUAACAGUCUCUGUAGCCUGUCCUUGGAAACAGAAGGAGAAAGCAAACCAACAAAAGAUGUUUCUAAGUCAUAUAUUGGAGCUUGGAAUUUUCCCUGUGAAUCUUUUCAAGUUAUCUAUGGAAGAAGUGAUCUAUUCACUGACUUAACUAGUCACCCAGUGCUGGCACCCUGAGAUGUGGACAUCCUGGUCGCUUCCAUGGCCUCAUGUGUGAAGCACAGAGUACCUACUCUCAGCCCAGGUUCUGGAGGAAGCUACAUGAUCCUUGAGAUGCUCCUGUGCUGAAUAAAGGUGGUCUGUGAGUCCAAGUGAGGACAGGGGAAGGCCCAGGAGACUACCGCGGACCUGUGGGGGCCCUGGCUUUCAAGGUCCCUGAGUCUCCCGUAUGCGGAGGAGCACAGCCCCUGAUGCCCCGCGUACAUGUUUAUGUUAAUAGUGCCGGGAGAACAGGCUGCUCUGGGGCUUCUUCCCAACUGCCACAUGAAUCAAUCAGGACAGAAAGAAGUUACUAUUUCCACAGACACUGCUGCUGUAGCGCAGCAAGUUUGGUGAGGCGUGGAGGCGAACCCCUGCCCCAGGACCAGCCUUGCAGGCUGACUCCCUCCCUCCUCCACUGCCCAGUGAGGUUUCGCAACACGAGGACACAAGUUUCAGGGACACAGCAUUCCCAAGUCACAAAGGUACUUGAAAUCAUCCAGUAUGCAAUCAAAGACAAGCACUGUGUGAAGAUCCAUGCCAGGGCCUUUUGCGCAGCGGCUCUGCAGCGGCAGUUUGGAAAACAGGCCCCGAACGGUGUUUACAGCCUUCCCUAUGUGCCUCCGGUGCAGCCAGAGCUGGGAAGCAUGAUACAUGUGGAGAAGCAAUCCCAAAGGACAACACUAGUUGCAAAGCUGAGACAAAGGCCUGGUUUGUGGGAGUGCAUUGCCCUCCGGCUGCCCGGGAGGGGCAGUGAGCAGUAGCCUCCCAGCCCUGGAGAUCAGGGGCUGGAGGCGCAGUGUCUUUCCAGGGUGAAGAAGUGGUGUCCAUGAAUUUGAUGGAGUACUGUUGCCUUGGCUUCCCGUGUGUGCCUCUCCUUGCUGGUCUGCCCCACGCCCGACCUCUCUGCUUCAUGCUCUGAUUUCUCUUUCCUAAGGGAAAGUAGGAGCCUCAAGUUUACUCUGGGACUCUCCAGCCUCUGGAGGGCAGUGGUAAACUCCUGUCAGAUGACAUGCAAGAGUUGAGUGUCUUGAGUCAUUGUCUUCCCCAGUAAUGAGAGGGGCAGUAGGUGGGUGUGAAAGGCUACUGCAGAGAGCUUGGGACAGUUGAGUGCAUCAUAGAAAUCCAUUUGGGGGAUAAUGGGGACAUGAUGGGGAGACUGGAGGAGAUAAAGGGGGAAAUGCUGGAGUACCUUAUUUCCAGGAAGCUACACGUUUCACAGCUCACCGUACCUCUUCCCUUAAAGCCAAGCCCAAGGGCAUAGAUUCUCUUUCUUUGCUUCCACUGUAUGUACAUGCCUUGACUAUUUCUAUACAAUAUUGACAACUAGUGUUUAUUAAGACACUUUUUUUUUGGUCUUUUUCGUUUUUUUUUUUUUUUUUUCUGGUACCAGGGAUCGAACUCAUGACUGCCUGCUUGCAAGGCAGGCGUUUAUGCCGCUGAGCUAAAUCCCCAGCCCCACCACUUUUGUAUCUUGAAAGCACUUCAUGAACAUAAUUUGUAUCCUGUCAUGCAAGUGUUUGAACAACCUAGUUCUUGGGGUGCAAGCAUUUCAACCCUUAGUUUACUGUUUGAGCAAAGUGAGGCAACAGAAAUGUGGGGACACAUCGGAGACUGGGGCUGGAGGGUGAUGAGAGUGUGAUUCAUGCUCAGGUGUCCGGAGUCAAAUUCCAGUGUUUCUCCCCAGCCAACGAAGGAUGUCCGGUACCAGAUUCAUUCAGAGUCCACUCCGGUUAUGGUCGGCUUUUUUGUUGCUCUCUUGCUCCUGCAUCUCUGUUCACCUGCACUGUUUUCUCUCCUUUUGUCUAAGCUUGGAUUUUAGUUUACUCUAGGGGGAAAUGUGCAGGAAAGCCUCAUGAUGAGAUGUUGUUAACUAUGAUGUGAUCCUGUAGUAGGAACCCCAAGGGAGAUAUUGUAAUGAGACCUCAGUCAAUUAUCCAGGUACCCUGAGCUCUCUGCAUGGCCCGGUUUCUCUUGGCAAGUAAACCCCUCAUUAGGAGCAGCAUCCCAUGACAGCACACAGAGGACAGGUGACCUCAGUUACUCAGAGCUGAGGCCACAGCCCCAGCCCUUCUGC
ensembl:lincRNA